rnacentral:rRNA from 1 species
GACGAACGCUGGCGGCGUGCUUAACACAUGCAAGUCGAACGGAAAGGCCCUGCUUUUGUGGGGUGCUCGAGUGGCGAACGGGUGAGUAACACGUGAGUAACCUGCCCUUGACUUUGGGAUAACUUCAGGAAACUGGGGCUAAUACCGGAUAGGAGCUCCUGCUGCAUGGUGGGGGUUGGAAAGUUUCGGCGGUUGGGGAUGGACUCGCGGCUUAUCAGCUUGUUGGUGGGGUAGUGGCUUACCAAGGCUUUGACGGGUAGCCGGCCUGGGAGGGUGACCGGCCACAUUGGGACUGCGGUACGGCCCAGACUGCUACGGGAGGCAGCAGUGGGGAAUAUUGCACAAUGGGAGGAAGCCUGAUGCAGCAACGCCGCGUGCGGGAUGACGGCCUUCGGGUUGUAAACCGCUUUCGCCUGUGACGAAGCGUGAGUGACGGUAAUGGGUAAAGAAGCACCGGCUAACUACGUG